CCCUGUGCACAGAGACUCCAGCCAAACCAGUAUAACCCAGUCCAUCCCAGCACAGGACGGGCUGCUCCCAGUCCUGUUGGGUUGAAGAUCCCUCUGCCAACCCCACCAAGAAUGUGCCUUCCAGUCCCAAGCUAGCUUGGCAUGUCCCCAGGCUCCUGGCAGCACCCAAAACCUUCUGCUUGGAAAGGAUGAAGAAAGGCACAAGAAAGGCUUCAGAAACAUCGAGAAACUGCCCUGAAAGACAGCAAAGCCAGCAAAGGAGGCUUCUAACUGGAUUUUUCUGAGGACGCUCUUUCUAAGGGCUGGAAACAUGCCCUGGACAACCAAAGGGAUUAGGAAAAGCCAGAUCUCAGGUUGGGAAUCACCCAAAAUGCAAGUGCAGAGCUGGGAUACUCAGGUACCAAGGAUGCUGCUAUCCUGCCUCUCAGCCACCACCACUGGCACUGGACCACCGUCACCAAUGGGAAGCAUUUGGCUGGUGCCACUCACAUCUCUGGGAUUCCAGAUGGAUCCUCCAUGGUCAGACCCUACAGCUGGGAAGUAAACAACAGGGCAAGCCCAGUGCAAGUCCCACACCCAGCCUGGCAACUGGCCACCAGCAAGACCAGCUCCCCAAGAUAAGCCUGAUCCCACAGGGUCAGUGAAGGACCCCAGUGGGAGCAGAGCCAGGGUCUGAGAUGCUCAAAACAGGGGGAAAUUUGGUGACAUGCCUAUGGAGAGAGCUCUGAAAGGAGGCUGGGGAUAGGAAUUAACUUCCUGGAGUGGGGGAAAGUGUCUGGACCCCAAAUAUAGGAAGCAAGAGACA